UACGUAGGGGGGCAAGCGUUGUCCGGAUUUACUGGGCGUAAAGAGCGCGCAGGCGGUCGUUCAAGUCGAGUGUGAAAGCCCCCCGGCUCAACUGGGGAGGGUCAUUCGAUACUGAUCGACUCGAAGGCAGGAGAGGGUAGUGGAAUUCCCGGUGUAGUGGUGAAAUGCGUAGAUAUCGGGAGGAACACCAGUGGCGAAGGCGACUACCUGGCCUGUUCUUGACGCUGAGGCGCGAAAGCUAGGGGAGCAAACGGGG
rnacentral:rRNA from 1 species